CAAUAGUUUGGGACAAAAGAGUCCAGUGUGAGGGAGUGUAGGGCUCCCUCCAAUAUCUCGUGGAUUACCUUUUCCUGGUAGGGUGAAGUGUCCUCUGGAGAUGCCUCUCGUGCUGUCGAGGGGCUCUGAGAGACCAGCACAGACUAGACUUCUGCAACUGGAGACAAAAGGAUGCAGUGAGCAGGCUCUUUCACCACUGUCUACUCUCAGCAAACGUCAAGUUGCCGCAUAGCAAACACCACCUCCGCUGCAAAAACAAGCGGGGAAAGGGGGAAGAGGAGUUUGCAUUAGGCUGUCAGUAGAAUUGCUGCUGCUGUCAGCGUCACCCGUCACAACCUGCCGGGGUUGUGCAAGAUGAGCUCCUCCAUCAACACGGGAGCUUUUGGGAGGAAGACUGGGAGCUCGCUGCCCCUGCUCUGCUGGACCAAAUCCAGGCACCCUGGGUAACAGCGAGUUGAAGUGGGGGAAGCCUGAAGCCUGCACCUCCUUUGCUGCUGAGAGUUUCUGGGGACAAAGGCAAUGUUUUAUUGAUGCUAAAUCCAGUUAAAGCACACAAGGUCGGCCCUGGAGCAGAGCAGAGACGUAGGAACUGCUUUCAAAGUGCUAGCUGCACCUCCAGUGCAGCGUCACCAGGAGAUGCACAUGACACUGUUUUCCACAAGCUUGACAGGUACGCCCUCAAAUUCAGUCUGAGGCUGUGGGAGCAGCUGCCACCCCAUGGAGACCAACUGCUUUGUUGCCUCUAAACCCUCGGAUAUGGUGAGGGCUCUUCAGCCCUUCUGGGGCUCUUCCAUUUUGUAGAGUCUGAGGUGAGUCAAAGGGCAAGAUUCAAAUACGAAACCCAAGGCCAGGCAGCCUCUCGGUAUCCUCGUGUUACCUUUGCUGCCUUCUGAAAUCAACAUGUUCCCCAGCCAAGGAACGUGUAAAUUCUUUCGGCUAUCACUCACUUUUGGAUGGAGCCCAAAUGCUCAUAUACACAAUCGUCUGUUUCUUCAGUGUCUGAAUGAACCAGAAAGGCUUUGUCUGCUAUAGAUGGGAGCUUUCAAUCCCAUUUAUGGUACAUUAUAUCAGUCUGAAAUAGCAUCUGUAAGGUUCUUAAACUGAACCACCGUCAGAUUUACAGCCACCGCAGAAGAGUUAGCAGGCUGGCUCCAGAGAGCUAUGAGCAGUAACCAUACUCUCUUGAAAUAUUUGCUUCCUUUGCAAAGUUGACCUGAGGAAGAAUGUGUUGUUCAUUUAAAGAUUGCAGUUUGUUCAUUUAUUCGGAGAACAUCUUCAUUGGCAGCCACUUGUAAAGGGAUGAACUUCAGAGCUGAAAGCUGAAGACAUGCUUCUUGUCAUCGUGGAGCUGGUGACAGCUGCUCAGCCAGGGAGCUCCCCGUGAUACAUCUACAUACGUGCAAGGUACAACAGGGGGGAUCUGAGCUGCUCAACAUCACGGGAUGAGCGAGGCAGCUCAGCUAAACACAAUCUUCCCCUCAAACCUCUGCCCAGAGAAUGACUGGGAACUUGACUGAAACUCAGCAGACAAAAGAGUGGCGUGCACGGACACGUUCUUGGUUUUUAAUAUCUCUGCUACCUUGAAGAGCACUUGAAACACCUCGGCAAGGCUGCACCAGCAGGGCCAAAAUAGGACGCACCAAAAAUCUCCCCCAAGAGCUUACUGUUGGGUCAUUUCCAGUCUGCUGGUCACCUGCAACCUAAAGCAAGCUAAACUGAGGGAAGCUGUCCCCCAUACCAUCCCCACUGUAAACUGCUGGGAGAGUGGCUGUUUGUUUUCAGUUGUCCAGGGGAAGUGCAGGAAGCCUGCCGAGACUGGGGAGGUUUCGCUUGAUGCUGUGCAGAUAUGGCUAGUGACAGCCCAUGCCUCAGACGCUCCCAGUCAAAGAAGGCAGGACAAACGAAGAGCGGGCAGUGCUGCCAACUCAAGCUGCCAGAGCCUUGUGUUUAUGUGAAAUUCUUGGCUUUCAUUUAAAAUAAUAAUAAUCAUAAUAAAAUAUAAAAAAAAAAAA